CGCGUGGUACCUUACCAUAUUUCGUAUUCUACUUAAGUGCACCGUACCUUACGAUGUCCUACAAUUCACUUAAGUGCACCAUACCUUACGGUGUUCCUUAUUUACUUUAUCUCUCAUCAAUUCGUCCUUUUGUGUGUGACCCUAUAGGUUUUCGCGGCAUUGGAAAUUAUAUUAAAUCACGUAUUUAACAUAAUAAACAGUGAGCGGUAUCUAGCAACACAUCAC
rnacentral:lncRNA from 1 species